AUCUCAGCUCACUACAACCUCCAUCUCCCAGGUUCAAGCAAUUCUCCUGCCUCAGCCUCUGAGUAGCUGGGAUUACAGGCAUGUGCCACCACACCUGGCUAAUUUUUUGUAUUUUUAGUAGAGACAAGGUUUCACCGAGUUGGCCAAGCUGGUCUCACACUCCUAUCUCAGCAGAUGUUUAUUGUGCUGGGUGUUCUUGGAGGCACUGAGGAUUCAGCAGUGAACAAAACAGACCUGGUCCCUGAAAGUCUCUGAAGGAGGGUGAAGGUAAAGAUAAACACAGCUGACAUUAGUGCUCUUCUGCCUCUGCCAUCCCUGAGACAGCAAGAUCAAUCCCUCCUCUUCCUCUUCAGCCUACUCAACGACAAAGAUUGAGGAUGAAGACCUUUAUGAUGGUCCACUUCCACUUAAUGAACAGCUGAAACCAUUGAAGUCCUUAGAUCAGCUUUAAGCACUGGAUGGAGUAAAAACCAUAAGCGACUACAAGGUGAUCUGUGAACAGACUGGCAGACAGAUGACAAGAGGGAAUGACAACAAAAAUAGACAAAAAGUAUGGUCUCCUGGUGAGCUAGUCAAAUUACUUGCUUAUUAAAAUGUUAGAAAUAAACAAACAUUAACGAAAUAAAAAUCUGAAACUGAGCCCCAGACUUAAGACUACUAGAAAGGCUCACCAAGUAAAACCUUCAGUUGGGUCAAGUGAGCUCUCUGAAUGUUUUGUACAACCUGCUGCAGUUUGUUCCCCUUGGGCAAGGUGAUGCUUUGUCCUGUGUGCAGCCUCUAACACCAUCACCGUCCCCAAGUGCAGCUCCCGUUCUAAAAAAGAUACCUCCCACCCCCAAUUCCUGGUGACUGCCAAACUCUCCUGACUGCAGAAACUGACUCUGAAGGAGGAAGGUGCACCAGUGGUGGAGGCAGGUGGGCAAGCGGGUCCGGCAGGGAUGGUUUCCUGGAGAAACCAUUUGGAUCUUUUCUCCAGAUGCCUAACAUGUGCUUAAGAGUUUUUUUUUUAAGUUCGAAAAAAACUCCAUUGUGAAAACUGAGUUAUGAAGAGUGCUCUUUAUUUGAAACCUCCACAACACAGACGCCAAUCUUGUCUCGCAUUGAAUCAUUAGCUGUGCACAUCAACACAUUCCAAGCACAAAUUAAGAAAUGCAAACAGAACAAAAAAAUAUAUAUAUAUAUAAUUUUUUCCCCUAUCCAAAGGUUUCAAGUCUCAAUGCAGCAAAUCCUUCUGAACACAGAAUCUGAGGAGCACACUGUUCAAACAGUUGGGACAGACAGGUCCCUGCAAAGGCUACUGCCUUUUUAACACAUGGAGUGGGGAUCAUGGACGGCAUGGAAAGGGGAGAGGAGGUGAGGACAGGCGGUGGGGAGAGAAUGAGAAGAGGAACAGGUAUGCGCUGGGGAAGAUGGGGCAGCUGGGACACACACAUGGUGAGUUGGUGGAUUUCAUUUAUUGGUUUUCGACAAUUCCUUUCUGGUUCUUUUUUUAAACUCCCCCCUCCCCAGGUCCAACAAUGGUAGAAAAACC